UUUGUAAAAUGAACUUUCCAUCCACAGCCAAAUCUUUGAUUUCCUGAAGAGCUGAAGAGUCGGAGCCCCUGGCUGGGGUAAGUGAAAAGCUGCUCAUCCUCUGGCUUCGUUUGAUGCCUUCAUGAAGAUCUGAAAGCAUACGCCUGAAGAAGUAAUGGAAAGUGAGAAGGGCAAGACAUCCUAGACAUGGACUUGAAGGUGUGCAGGAGGAGUCAGAGAGACAGACACGAGCUGACCUUGAGGUGCUGACUCGUGGGGAUGUCUGGCACUUCAUCUUAUGGCCUAAUGUGAGCAGCUGAUCUCCUGCUCUGCAGUGCUCCUCGGUGCUGCCUGCCCCACCUGCGUUCCAGCCUGUCAAUCAUCACCCGGUGAUGGUGGCUGACCUUCCAAAAUGAUAGUGAAUGGAAGAUGCAUCAACAGAGAUGAUAAUUUGAGUAUCUCAUCCAGCUAGGAGAGGAUGUUCCAUGCCCUGACUUCACAAAACCAUUAUUUCAACCAAAGUGGAUGGAUCAAUCUCAUGCAGUGUAAAAGCAGGCAGACCCACUGGGAAAGAGUGAAGUUAACAAAUGAAAGGAGAAGGCAAAAGGACAGAAUGAAUGUCAGAAGUGGGGUAAAAGUUUUUUUAAAAAAGGACCGAGAGAAAUCAAGGAUAACGUGUAAG